GCCUGCUGGUGGCUCUGGGCAUUGUACCUAAUGAGCUGACAGCAGGUUAGCUGCAGCAAGGUUGUCCCCGUGGGGCUGCGAAUCCUGCCUUAACCAAGCUGACUGGUACUUCUGCUUCUCUGCAUCUGCAAUGAGCCCUGGACUGCUGCAGAGGAUACAGCAGAACUGAGAGGAAAACAGCAGCAGCAGUGCCUGGAGUGCUGCAGGAUGUCGCCAGGAGCUGCCUAGGCUGGGCUGAUGUCCUCUGUCUGCUGCAUGGCCAUAUCCUGCAGAGAGGAAGGGAGGCGGGCAGCGGACAGCGCGCUUUUGGAUGUGUUAACACUAUUACAGAAGACUGUGUGCUAGAUCAGACACUGCAUGGCAUCCCAGAACUGACAUGGAGCCAGUGUGACGGAGACAAGCUGCACAGAUGCUGGACCAUGUGCUGAGGCCAACUCAAUGGAAACAUGGCUAAAGCCCCUUUCAGCGCCUCCUAGCUCAAGUUGGAGUGAAUGAUGGGAGACCCAAGUGCUGUACGGCAUUAGGCUUGGUGAUCUCCCAUGGAGAAAGGUUAAGACUUCUCUCCUGCAAGCAGAAACAUGUCUACUGUGGUUCUCUAGAAAGAAAGCAUCCUAUGCCAGCGACUGGUGUUGGUACACUGCCCUGUGAACGUUCUCAAAAAGCCAAGAGCUUAUCAGUGACAGUGGGGCAGGACCCCGGUUCAGGUUACUGCCACCCUCCAGGAGCAGGCCGGGCAGAUUCACCUCCAGUAUCGAUGUACCUUACUUGCAGUUUCCUUGGAAAAUCUACUUCUGACCAAAAGACCCAGAAACUAUUUUGAACAAAACAGCAUUUCCCUUUUACUUUUGCCUCAUAAGUAUGAAACAAUUGCAUUUGUAGACUGUUUCGACACGAGAAGCAAAAUUUCUGCUGAAAAUGGCUCUGUGAUUUCACACCUGUGAUUCAGAGCAAAACCUGGGAAGGACACAGAAGAAACCACACCCCAGGUGUGUGUAUCCGCAUUCCCACUGCAGAUGUGGCUAACGUGAUGGCUUCAUAAACAUAGAAUCAUAGAAUUGUAGGAUCAUUAAUGUUGGAAAGACCUCUAAGAUCACCUAAUCCAACCAUCAGCCUACCACCAGCAUGCCCGCUGACCACAUCUCCAUGGUUCUUGAACAUCUCCAGGGAUGGAGACUCCACCACCUCUCUGGCUGGUAUUCAAUGCUCUCUGCAAGCACUUGACAGUCCUUUGCACUGCUGCCUGUAUCUGCACACUGGAGGCCAACCUGCUGCUUGAAAGAAAAUCACUCUCAGAAUCACAGUGCCAGGGGAGCCUUCUCCUUAGGAACACCCUAUUCAGGAUCCUUCUGCUCCCAGUCUGUGAUAUCCAAUGCACAGGAAUACACACAGAGGAUCUGCCUCUCUUGGGCUCACUGCUCUCCAAUGCAAGCCUGCAGUUGCAGUCUGCAGUUUGGGCUCUGUUGGUAGCACUGCACUGGCUGCUGACCCUUCCAGGAAGUGCUUUCCUCCUGUACCUCCUCCCACCACCUUGCUUGCGAUCCCAAGUGCUGACCUACAGGAUACCGUGAUGAUCCAGCAUCACCUCCACUGGGCCCCCAGCUGCCGGCUAAUGGAGAGGCCCUGCUGCGCCACGUGUUCCUGUAAGCCUUGGGUCAUCCCAUUUCACGGCUUCUCAGAAGGCAUCUGUCAGUGCGUCCGUUUCAUGAAGUACACAGAACGGAGAUUAAGUUGCAUUUCAACCACCCUUUCCUUUCUUACCAAGCACUUUGCGUAGGAGUGGCAGCCCCUUUGUUAACUGAUGGGAAGCCUAACUAUUGCCACCUCCUCUCCCAGGUCUCCAUCCAGCCUCAUGCGGCACUGGUACCUGAGUGAGCAGGGAGCCCAAGAGCAACACCUGUGUCUGCUUCCAGUUGUUGCAGGAAUACAAUCUCUCCAAACACUCGUGCGGCUGCUGUAUUAUUUAACAAGCCUCCUGCUUAGGAAAAACAGCAUAAAAAUGGAGAUGCUGAAAACAGAGGAUCCUGCUGUAGGCUGCUCCAUAAUACCUUCCUGUUCAGUGAAGAUGUGGUAAUGGAUGUUUUCACUGCAGCCUCACUCCACUCGUGGUGACGAGUUCCCGUAUCCUGUACUUUGCUUGUGCUACACUGCAAGCUUGUGCUCAUCCACUUCAAUGUGUGUUCUGUGAGGCAGCUGAUUCCACUUCCUUUAAAGCAUCCAGAGAAGGACCCUCCAGCACUAACAGAUAAGAACUUCGAGGCUUUCAGCUCAAAACCCCCUGGUGGGAUGAGUGACUUGUGAAAGUGGGAUCACGCUGGCUACAAGAAUCCAUGCCGCAGAGCUCAGGACCAUGCAGGCAUCUCACUGUCCAGAAGUUCUGGAUGAAUUCAGCUCCUGACCUUCUCACCUUGGUUUGAAGUGGGAAUUGCUGUAUAGCUUGGUCUCUUACUCUUCUGACCCUCUAUGUUUUAUGCAUCUAGUAAUGUUAUUCCUUAAAAUAAUCUACUCACAGAGUAUGGCAUUUCCUAUAAUCAGAUAAUCUUGAUGGUAUAAAAAAAAUAAAAUGCUAAUAACUAAAACAGCAUCCAAAGAAAGGAUGCCUCAUCCAAAAACAUCUUCAUAAAAGGCAUAUCUUUAAAUCGAGACACCAGUCUAUGUUAUCCACAAAGACCAGUAAUCACAGACUGAAUUGUAAGAGCUUUCUCCAUGUGCGUACUACAAAACUUGGGAGUGAUUUGCCAAACAGAAAAGCAUACAUUGAUCAGGGAAAUAAAAGCUUCACCACUGAUCCUCUGAGAGGUGAUGGCUAUUAGCAGAAAGAAACUCAACACUGAUCUGGAAAGUGCAAUGUGAAGAUGCCACACAACGCCAAAUAUGAGGACAGUGCUGUGUGCUCUCUGCUUCUAUCAGUCGUGUAACGAGAAGGGUGUUUCUACCUGAAGUACAGACACCUGGCUUCCUACUCAAGCACCACAAGCAAUCUCCUCUGGUAACACAAACUGCUUACUUCACCCCAGAGUUAGAGCUCACUGUAGAACCAUCUGGUUUGGAGUUGUCUUGUCACUACCCAUCUUGUGAAAGAUAUUUUCAGGAUGCUAACAACUCCAUCCAAAAAGUUCUUCUGUUUUGUCACCCAUGAUCACAUAUAUUUAGAUGCCAUAUGCCCUGUAUUCUCCUUCUCCGGAAGCUCUGGGUUGAUUUGUGCCAAGAACUGAAUGUAAGAAAUUUGCCUUUUGUGUGUUAUUGUUCAUAGACUCUCACUCAGCCCCUGGGACUGAGGCAUAACGUAUAUGCGUACAUACUUGAAAAUAGAUUGUCUUGGUGUCCCACUCACAAACUGUGAGCCAACCCGCCUCCCCCACUCCUUGAUGGGAGUCAUUUUGCCAUUUGGGGCUUAUGAAGCAAGAUCUUUGCUAACCCUCUUGUUCUCUGAAAUGCUAUAUAUUGUCUUCCCCUUCAUCCCAGCCUACAGGCAGAACCAGCAUGUGAGGAUGUACGAUGCAUGAUUCAAUGUCAUGCAAAAAUUCUGCUGAACUCCUCACAUUCUGCAGCAAUAGUAAUCUUUGUCUGGUCUGCGACCGGAGAAAGCAAGCUCCAAAGCGUGCAAAGCGUGUUUGACCUUACUUUCAAACACCCGUGUGCACACUCAAAGCCCCAGAGAACUCAUUACAUUCACAGUCUAGAAACUGGUGUUUUGUUCUCCGUCCCUGCUCCGUCUGCCUUUGGAUGAAUGCAGCUGAAAAUGUCAGAGAUGCAGCUCCUAUGUAACGUAAGAGGAGGAUUACAGCUUUCCUGACAUCGGAAGGGGGGGUUACAACAAUGCAGCUGACGUAGGAAAGGACAGAUUACAGUGCAUCUGACAUAGUAGGAAUUAUAGAAAAUGUAUUUACAGCGAUGGCUGGAAAAUGAAUUUAAUAUGCUGUUCCAGAGGACAAUAAAGGCGUGUUGCAACAGUUCUCCCCCCUCUGGAAAGUCGUGUUUCUCACUUGUCCAUCAGCACAAACAAUCUGUGCUGUAUGGCAGGAAAUAUCGGACGCAAAUAUCGCAUUAAUCUCUACGGAAGGAUACCUGUUAUCGUAACUUGCUCAUUCACUAAGGUCUCUCAGUAGUGGCUCAGACAAUAGGUGGAUAUAUCAGGUUUUCCCCCUGGGAGAAGUGUACCACAGGCACAGUGCGGCAGCGGCGACUUUGAUUUUGUUUCUGUUUUCUUUCAGAGCAAGCAAAGUAGAGGGGGGAAGGGAGAGGGGAGAAGCCCUUGAUUUUUCUGCACGUGGUGGACAAAUGCUGCUAAUACCCUCUUCAAAAGAGGCAGAGCGUAGCCCCUUGCUGGGCAGACGUACAGCCAGCCACAAGCAGAUAAAGCAAUUACGUGGGACAUCAGGAAAGCGAUUUCCUUUCCACUUCAGACUGCAGCAUGAGCGCAAUGGAUCUCAGGAGCUGUUGCAUGAAUAUGGAGGAAAUGUGAGGG
rnacentral:lncRNA from 1 species